CCUUAUAAUGACGCACAUAACCGUCCUGGAAACAAAUAUAAUAACAGACAAUAGCAAGAACAGUCAACAUUGUAGAUAAGAAGAAUAAUUUGUCCAAUCUCAAUAUGGCGCGUAAAGUGUGUUCCUUCACAGUCUUGCCUGCAUGCUAGCUAGAUAUUGCCUACAGUAUAGUUGAGGUUUGUAUGUUGUCCUUAGAUUUUUGGGGGUUGGAGUUUUGUGCACAACUUCAGCUUUCGGGAAUGAGCAGCAUCGAAUUUUGAAAAUCACCCAACGUCUCGGCAAACAGUGCAGCUACCAGAAACGCCCACAAAUUAGAUACUCACCCUCAAAAUGAUAACUGCAACGUUUGCCGAAACCGGUUGUAAAUUGGAUGUUGAAUGUAUUGUACAGAAAUGAGAAUUUGAAUUAUACGAUAUAGGCCUACCUAUUAUUCACCCGUUCAAGAUAAUAGUCCUAUGUAUGAAGCCAGAAUGUUUACUACUAACGUUAAGCAAGGCUACCGAUUCACCCCAUCCUGAAACAGUUCAAGUAACAAACUUUUCGCUGCCCCGCGCCUAGCACCGAUAGCGUGUGAGACAUCGGAAAUGUAGCAUGAAAGAGUACAUAAAAUAUAUAAUUCUGAUUAAAAAAGCUUCAAGGUCUCAAUGAGUAAAGUGAUUGGCUACAAGCCGGAUGACAAGAGUUCGAUUCCCGUCAGACUUAUUUCUUAACCAUCACUGUGUCGAAGCCGGCCAUGGUGCCUACCAAGCUACCUAUCCAAUGCACAGGCCUAAGUCUCAUGCCCUCGUGCUUAAUUAAACACAGGAAAUACUUUACAUUACAUUAAAACUUCUAAUGAGAUAUUUUCAUACGAAGAUUUGUGAAGCAUUUAGAACAGGACAGAGAAAUACUAUUACAUUGUGAUGACGGACUAAACUACCCUAGGGCUGAAUUUUGUGUCAGUAGUGUUUGAAAGACUGAUUAUGUAGCUGAUUAUAAUGUGUGAUACUUCAACGUUUUUCAGAGAUUCCAACAAUCGUAAUUGCAGAGAUUCCUGACAGAGUCACUUGCCCCUAUUGUUCUGGUGACUCGUCGAAUUGUCCGCUGGCGACAAGUCCAGCCUACUUUUACUCACAUCCGCAGACAGCAUACGAACCCCCGCCGAGCUACUCGUCUCUCGUGAUUCACGAGUGUCCUACAAUACAAAAGACAUUCCAGGUUCAAGACAAUGCACCAAGCGCUGACCAUCCUAAGUGACAUCCACUUGAGUACAAAGACAGCUCCUUCUUUUAUGUCUCUACGAAUCUAAAAUUGCUAACAAGUGUCAUCCACAAAUGACCCAAACACGAAACACGACAGAAUAUUUAAACCGUCCGUUCUAAUGAACUUAUAUUGUGACACCUUUUUGUUAAAGAAGAAUAGAUCAAUAAGAGGAAAACUUUGAAAAAGCUGGACAUGCACAGUUUAUAUUUACCACCGAAAACCUUAGCUCUUAUCUCGAUACUCCAGAUGUGUAUGAUUGUACAACACUGAAUGUCUAUAAUCCACACAUUAAUGGUCUGAAUCAGGAUUAGGACCCAUGGUUUCAGUCAUGUUUCAUGUCAAUAUCUCACAUCAAGGGAAGAAGAAUUCAAAAAAGGGCAUCGACUAUACCGUACAUUCUAGAAUCAUCAGAAAUUUACCCUCAAUAAUGACGGCAAAAUCUAGAGAAGUGCUUUAAAUACACAUUUUAUUGAUAAAUCUUUAAUGUGACUCGAAGGUUAAUUACUGUGUUCACAUAAACUCGUCACACUGGUCUAUCAUGUUUUACUUCAGUUCUUCGCAUGUCGAGGUAAUAAUUUAAAUUGCGUCACAACCGUUUCCUACAACCUUCAAAAUCAUCCUACCACGCCUCAUUCGACGAUACAAAACACGAGCAGUUCAUAUAGCUUUCAAAAUAACAGAAUAAUCUACCAACGCGACGGGCGGAAGAAAAUCCUCGGGAAAAAUGCUGUCGGCUACACACAAAAUCUGAACUACGCACGUCUCCUGGUAAUAAUUACAAGGUAGUUCAAUCCAGAAGAUUAAGAUGUCCUGAACGCGCAGAUUGGAUAGGUAACACAAGGAAUUAACUCAUAAUUAUGUAUAUUCUUCCCUGGAAGAAGUUCGUUGGGAGCCCAUGAAGUAGCUGGAAAAAUAAUAUUAAUCGGGAAGUAGGCGAAAAGAAUGUGAAAUGCAUGAGACAGACAGAGUGAGAGUAAAAACGAUGCCAUGUUUCACCGUGCCAUCGACCUGAUGAUUGAGGCAGCAUACCCCACUGAAACGUCGAUAAACGUCUACCAGACUACGUGACGCAACAAUCCAGAACACAGCCGUCUUCGCUUCAGCUGUUGUGAGAACCUGAAAACUCACCAGGGUGACAGCGGGCUGUUAUCAACAAUAACGAAACUUCGGGCUUGUUUGCUGUACUCCUACUUAUUUGUUUCGUGUACAGUUUAAUUUAACACAGUCUUUCUCUCUCACACACACAAAAUUUGGGAUAAAGAAGAUCUUACUACAUUAAAUAAAUGAUUUUGUUACACUUAUGGAUCCGUUAGAACGUUUCAUUGUCAAUAUUAAAUUUACUGAAAUAAUUCCCUGGUCCUGGGUCACUCUUAACCCUUUAAAGCACACUGAUACGUAUAACUAUCACCUAAUUCAACAUUCAAUAACUCUGUAUUUUAUGGUUUUAUAUGAUUCUCAGAAUAAAUAACUAUUAUUUCCUUAAACAAAAUUAAUAAACUGAUCUUCAUGGUGGAUAAACGGGCAUUGCCUGGAAACUUUCACAGCCGGUAAAAUAUCUAUCAGCCCCCUCCCGAAACAAAUGUAGUGUCUCGCUACCCCCCAAUUCUCUCACUCUUUCUCUCCGGGCUUCAAGGACUAAACGGUCGUCAAUCAAUCACAUGAAGAAAACAUUACAUGUCUUCAUUAAAUCAGAAGGUGCAUCAUCUUUGUUACAAAAGCUGGCUAUGGGAAUCUAUCCCGAAGUAUAAAAAAAGUGUUCACAUCUGUACAAUCAAUUUCUCUAAGAUCAAAUUUUAAUAAGAGUCUUCCAUCCACACUCAGUUCCUAAGUAGUCUCUUCCUAUGACGUUGUCCAAACAAAUCCUGCAUAAAUUAGCUAAACUGAAAUGAUUAUCAAUCAGCAACGUUUCAAAAAAUGUCGACAUUGAUACAACCAUCUUUAAUAUUACAAUCUGCUAUUUUAUCUUCGCGAAGAUAAUUUGAAAGGUAACUGAUAACAUUUAUAGUUUGAUAAAGGUGCUGUAGUCGCGAUCGAGGAGAAAAGUAUUGGCAGUGUGACAGUAGCUAGUGCUGCAGAAAUGUGUGGUCGAUAAUUAAUAUGUUUUGUAAUUCUUAUGAAGGAGUUUAUCCGGAGGAGAUAAGAAGCAAUGAACAAUGGCAUCAGCAGAUUUUUCGACAACAGAUCCUACGACAACAGCUAUCCCUACUAAAGGGCAGAACAGCAACGAUAUGGUGCAGGUGUGGAUAUGGCUCUUAGUGGCAGUCGCAAUUAUUGGCUUCCUUUUCAAAUUCUGCACUUGGUGCGCAGAACAAAACAGGGAGUCUGGUUCCACACCCACCAGGAGCCUGUCCACAGUAGCCAUAAUCGACGCAGCCGCUCCACAGUCGAUGACGUGUCCUCGUUGUGACCCAUCGGAGUACUUCGCUGGUUUAGAUCAGCCUCCUCCUUACGGCAGCCUGCUGCAAGGCUACCAUGAAGAUCCACCCCCAUCAUACUCGUCUUUGAUGCUUCACGCUUUACCGACUGAGGAACACAGACAACCAACUGCAAGCACAGAAAACCACACGGGUGACAGUCCUCACAGUUUACACAUGUAGCCGCUGAGAAAGACAGGCGACCGCUUCCAAGAUACGAGUGUUCACGUUCACAUGGCUGAAUAAAUACAUGAAAACCAAAACGGCAGGAAGAAACAGAUGAAGUCAGUUGCAACAACAGUUAGUUAUCAGUCGAAAAGGUUUAACAGAGAUAAGACAGAUCAAAGCACACCGUGUUUGUGUAUGGCAUGUGAACGUGUUUAUAGUGAUAAAGAACAAGGAUUAGACAAGUAAAACACUGAUUUCUAACGUAAAAUAUAUGGUAAUUAAUUACACCAAUAAAUAUUUAAUUCAACAGAAAUGACGAGCGCCGUAAAAUAAGCCUGUCCAUUAACUCGCCAUAACUUUGGGCAGAGCAAUGGACCUGUCUUAAGACAGAACACUUAAUAAUAAUAAUAAUAACUACAGAAUGUACUCUAGUUUCAAUCAAGUUGCAAUUUAUUGAUUUGGUUUAUCAGUUAUCUGAGGACGAUGUAUAAACUACAGAAGUUACUUAAUUGCCACAGAAGAGCGAGAAGAAAUGGAUCAGAAGAAUAAAUCCAAUUCAAAGUCCUGAUACUGCGUUCUGCGUGGGCUGCCAUACUACAGCCGGCAGCUGAAGUAGACAAUAGAUUAUCACAUCUGAAUGACAGUAAAUUAUGUACGCGUAUGGUGACAGAAAAGAUAUAACAUUUCAUUUGUUUUGGCGAUUGUGACGCAAAUUUGGCUUUACGAUCAAUAUUAUAGGCACAUAUUAUGAGACCUGUGUUAGUUUGAAUAAAUAAAGCCCAUAAAACUAUAGUCAUGAUCCAGAUGGUAAAUUUGAAUUGUAAAACAGAUAAAAUUGAAAGACAACAAACUAUUUUUAUCCACCCUUGUAUUAUGAGAUUGACAGGAAAUGUGUUUUGCACGCCCUGUUUGACAAGGUUAGCUUCGUUUUAGACACGCAAGAGGAUCUAAUCCGCAGACCGAUAGAAUCGAAUCCACACAGUUAUAUAGUGAAAUAGACGUCUUUCUUUGUGGAGGAGGGUUUAUCUACGACGGUCGGGUGACGUAAUACGAAUGUCGCAAGUGGCUUCCUACAAAGCAGGCGCGUCAGUAUUUGGCCUAGAAACAUCUGCAGUUGGUUCUCUGUUACUCUGUGAAAAGGAAGGAUCGUGAAUACAUGAACACAAGAAAUAGCUUCUUCGAAAUUCGAAAGCCGCUGGACAAUUUUAAGGAAAAAUGUUCUCCUCAUCCGUGAUCCUAUUCAUCACGAUGGGAGGGACCAUCCUGAUGGUGUUUCUUGUGCUCACCUGCUACAGGAUUUUCAUGAUCUUGUUUCGGAAAGAGCAAGACAGAGACAAAUUCAUAAGUGAAAAUCGCAAAGUUAUCUACUCAGCCCCAAGAUGGCCGGUGGAAAAAUCGGAACAGAUUCAAUGGAAAGUUCCACCAGCGUACAAAGAUUCACAACCACCUCCAUAUUACUUCGUGGUCGGGGGUCCAGAAAUACAGCAACCUGAGACUUGGAACCUGCCAACGGAUGGUACGUUACUGAUCCAACGCGCCUAAGUGAAGCCAGAAUGUAGCAACUUGUUUCAAAAUAGUAGUUUCGGAUGCAAAUCAUCAUUAUAGUCACAGUUUAAAAAAGUGGUCUUCAGUACUGAAGACUCUAUCAUAUAAGUUUGGUCAUGAUGUUGACGAGCGUAGAUCUAAACAUUUAGUCACAUGUGAAUCAUCAUGACAGGAAAGCACCGAAAGUCGUUGUCGAGUGGUUAGCACUCCUGCUCCAUAUUCAGGAGUCCCGGAUUCAAAUAUAGGCCCGGAGACCGGUUAUCAUGAC